rnacentral:rRNA from 1 species
CACGUAGGGCGCAAGCGUUGUCCGGAAUUAUUGGGCGUAAAGAGCUCGUAGGCGGUCUGUUACGUCUGCUGUGAAAACCCGGGGCUUAACCCUGGGCUUGCAGUGGGUACGGGCAGACUAGAGUGUGGUAGGGGAGACUGGAAUUCCUGGUGUAGCGGUGAAAUGCGCAGAUAUCAGGAGGAACACCGAUGGCGAAGGCAGGUCUCUGGGCCACUACUGACGCUGAGAAGCGAAAGCAUGGGGAGCGAACAGG